CAGGAGGGAGAGUGGGAGGCUGCGAAAAGGAGCUGCUCCGGAGAGGAAAUGGGAAGAGGCUCAGUGUGAUGAAGACUAUAAGGAAACAGCCCAGAGUUCCCAAAGAGCAAAACUAUGUGCAGGGUCUGGUAAAAACUCUUGGAGACCAGCUGGGGAAGACCAGCCCAGAAGAAAAGGAAGGAUAACUGCUGGCCAUGAUGGUAUUCAUAUCCUGUCCCUUCUGAACAUACACAUUCUAUUUACAAGAAAUACAAGACUAAAUCUGUAAUGCAAUGCCGGUAGAAGCUUUUGGAUAUCUAGCCAACUAAAACAUUUCCCAGCACUGCUUUCAUAUAGAAUGUUUCUGUAGAGUUUGUUACAUUAAUGGGCAGCCCAAGGAAGCCAACACAAUGUGGGUGGAUGCCAUCAGCUGUGAAUGUCCUAAAGGAGAGUACGGAGUAAGACUUGACCUGCAAAGGAAGUGCCUAGGCCUGGUCUAAAGUGACUGACUGUCCCAGUGUGUAAUUUGCAGCUAUGCCUUCCUUCCACUGGAAACCCUACAAUG